rnacentral:rRNA from 1 species
AUGCUGCUGCGGAGCGCGUCCUCGCCGCUGCUCAACGCGGCGCGCGUGCCGGCGGCCGCGGCGGUGGAGCAUGUACUGGGCCACGGGCACCUCGCGGUGGCGUCGCCGGCGGGGCAUCACGGGCCGAGGCAGCAGGGGGCGCUGUGCCGCGCAUUGUCCGAGGCCGAUCUGCUGGCGCCGGUGCAGCUCCCGGCCGCCUCCGCCUUCCUCGAGGAGUUGGACGAGGAGGAGGCGCAGCAGGAGGACGAGGACGUGGUCGCGGUCGGGGUGGCGGCCGUGCCGCUGCGCCGGCUGCUGACGAGCACGGGGCUGGACGCCGCGGGGGAGGAACAGGAGGCCGGCGCCGGCGGAGCCCUGGCGCUCCUCGAGGGCGUCGGGGGAGGCGGCGGGCGCGGGAGGGUGUGCGGCGGCUGGCAGGGCGGCCGCGGAGGAGACGGGGACGGCGACGGCGACGGAGGUGACCGCGGCGCCACCGACGCGCACUACCGGCGGAUGAUCAGGGCCAACCCGGGCAACUCGCUGCCGCUGGGGAACUACGCCAGGUUCCUCAAGGAGGUGCAGGGGGACGCGGCGAGGGCGCAGGAGUACUGCGAGCGCGCCAUCGUCGCCAACCCCGGCGACGGCGACGCCCUGGCGAUGUACGCGGGCCUCGUCUGGGAGACCAGCCGCGACGCUGAGCGCGCCGACGCUUACUACAGCCGCGCCGUCCAGGCCGCGCCCGACGACUGCUAUGUCCUGGGAUCCUACGCCGGGUUCCUGUGGGACGCCGAGGAGGAAGACGGUCUCAACGACGGGCAGCCUCCGGCGGGGUCGCCGCCGUUCUAUGGGGCAGCGCAGCCAUCCUCCAUCAGAGCGGCUUCUUAG